GCUGGGGCUGGUGGUGCACACUGGUAGUCCCAGCUACUCGGAGGGCUGAGGCAGGAUCACAGAGCCUAGGAGUUCUGGGUUGUAGAACUAUGCAGAUAGGUGUCCCACUACAUUCAGCAUCAAUAUGAGGCCUGGAGGAUGACCAGGUUACCUUAGGAGGGGAGAACCAACCCAGGUCGCAAGAGGAGCAGAUCAAAACCCUUGGGCUGAUCGGUAGUAGGAUCGUGUCUGUGAGUAGACAUUGCACUCCAGCCCGGGCAACAGAGUAAGAUCCCCCUCUCU
rnacentral:SRP_RNA from 1 species